UAAAAUUGCUAUCGAGUAUGUAAUAAUUCCGUGACUGCCGCCAAAUUCCGUAAUGGCCGCUGACAGAAUACCGAUGAGAGCUCCAGUAAGGUUAUGUGCAUCAUACCUUGGUACCGCAAGAUCUGUUCAUAUAUUUGAGUAACAAUGCAGCUACAAAUGAUGAUAGUCAUCCUUUUCAUCGAGCAACACCAUGGAUUCCCCAUUAUUUGGAAGGACUAUCCACGUAACAAUGAAAACUACAACUGCUGCGCUUACCUGUGCUGAAUACCUAAAAUUGGAAACUAUGUAUAAACAAAAAUAAGAGAGAAAUAAAUACAACGAAGAUGAGGA
rnacentral:lncRNA from 1 species